AUUGAACGCUGGCGGCAGGCCUAACACAUGCAAGUCGAAUGGUAACAGGAAACAGCUUGCUGUUUCGCUGACGAGUGGCGGACGGGUGAGUAAUGUCUGGGAAACUGCCUGAUGGAGGGGGAUAACUACUGGAAACGGUAGCUAAUACCGCAUAACGUCGCAAGACCAAAGAGGGGGACCUUCGGGCCUCUUGCCAUCAGAUGUGCCCAGAUGGGAUUAGCUAGUAGGUGGGGUAACGGCUCACCUAGGCGACGAUCCCUAGCUGGUCUGAGAGGAUGACCAGCCACACUGGAACUGAGACACGGUCCAGACUCCUACGGGAGGCAGCAGUGGGGAAUGUUGCACAAUGGGCGCAAGCCUGAUGCAGCCAUGCCGCGUGUAUGAAGAAGGCCUUCGGGUUGUAAAGUACUUUCAGCGGGGAGGAAGGGAGUAAAGUUAAUACCUUUGCUCAUUGACGUUACCCGCAGAAGAAGCACCGGCUAACUCCGUG
rnacentral:rRNA from 1 species